UCAACGUUGUCCGACCGGUCGGACGGUCCCCGUGGGUUGAGCGCACAUCCGCGCUCCCUCCGAAUGCCAUGAACGCAGGUAGAGGCUUCAGAGGAAGCCCGUGUCCUGCAGGCAUUGUCAUGUUAAACAGCUGUAUUGUGCGCUGCGGAUAAAAGCCCCCUCUAUUCUAGGGUGUGCUUUGAAUCCAAGCCUAAUCCAGUCAGAGCUGAGCCACGUGGCAGAUAAGUGUCGAGAAAAGAUGAGAUGGGCGGAUGAAGAGGGAUGAAGAAGGAUCCAGGCUGUUAAACUAAUGGACAGGGAGACAAAGGAGCAUCUGCAGCGAAGAGGACAUGCUCUGCUGAGCUGUGUGAGCAUUUAAAAACCAGUUUCCUGAUACACUGCGUGCAGAUCAGAUCUGAGCCACAAAAAAG